GGAAAUGUGCCCGAAAGAUAGGGGCUACUUUGAUAGAGUAACAUACAGGGGUUAAAAUCCCCUCAUCUCC
rnacentral:tRNA from 1 species